rnacentral:rRNA from 1 species
AACGAACGCUGGCGGCAUGCCUAACACAUGCAAGUCGAACGAGACCUCCGGGUCUUGUGGCGCACGGGUGCGUAACGCGUGGGAACCUGCACUUAUGGACGGAAUAACUCCCCGAAAGGGGUGCUAUUACCGGAUCAUGUCUUCUUACCAAAGAUAUAUUGCCUCUGGAGGGGCCCGCGUUGGAUUAGCUAGUUGGUAGGGUAAAAGCAUACUAAGGCGAGGAUCCACAGAUGGUAUGAGAGGCUGAUCAGCGACACUGGGACGAGGACACGGCCCAGACUCGUACGGAAGGGAGGAGAGGGGAAUAUAGGACCAUGGGGGAAGGCAUGAUGGAGCUAUGACGGGUAAGUGAUGAAGGCCGUAGGGAAGUAAUGCUCUAUUAACCGGGAUGAUAAUGACGGUACCGGGAGAAUAAGCCCCGGCUAACUACGUG